rnacentral:rRNA from 1 species
GGCUAGGCCCUACCACCCUGACCGUGCCUAAUCUUGUCUAAUCUCAGAAGCUAAGCAAGGUCGGGCCUGGUUAUUACUUGGGUGGGAUACCGCCCUGGAAUAGGCUUUUUAUGCCC